AAAAAUUUUUCAAGCUAUUUCAAGUGUUACGGCCUUGUGUUAAGGUCGAUAUUCGCGUGAGAUAUUUCGAUAAGGUGCGAACUUUAGUUGAGUACUGUUCAUGACAAUGGCCGCACGUAGUCUGAGGCAUACGUUUACGAACUGAGACAAAUGACAGUCGCGUACGCAUCGCUCGAAGGAAAACGGUGACACCAGUUUAUAGUGAAAUAAAAUCGUGAAAAAUCCAUGCUGUGAUAUCAUGCGAACUGAUUUCAAAGGAUAUUUGUGCCCAGGAUAUAUAAUUGUGUUCGUGUUUUGGAUAACGUGAAUGAGUGUACGCGUCUGUACCAAUGUGGACAUAUUCGAGUGUGGACAUAGCUGGGACGCAUAUCAGUAGGACUGAUCGGAUCAAGAUCUAUUUGUCGGAAUGCGUGGUGUGUUUCUGUAUAGUAUUCUUUAUUCUUUGUGUAGGACUACUGCUGUAUUUGUUCUUUCAUUUGUACACGACAGUGACGUCAGCUGGGAAACUUGCUGGGACUUUAGCGGAGAGUUGAAUGUUUAGUAUUAUGAAGACUGAGAAUCUAGUGUUUGUGAAGAUGUACUUUGUGAUAAUUUUAGUUUUUAAGGAGACGAGGAGAUGAAGAGAUUGUUAGUGAUACGAUAUUAACGAUGUUAGUCAUUACUUAUAACCUGUCUAUAAAAUUGUUAUUCAGAAACAAAAAUGGUGCUUAAACAAUGUUAUAUAUUUAAAUAUCUAGAAAUUGAUGAAGACCAAGCAUUAAAACCAUGAUUCUUCACACAAGGGACUAUUUGUCCAUUAAGAAUACUUAGGUAACAUUAGAAUCAGCUUUACCUAACAUUUUCUACUACAACAUUUCUAUUUCCUUUUAACACAAUAUUUGAACCAGAAUGUUUUGCUACUGCAGAAGAAAAUAGAAAAGUAGCCUUUAAUAUUCCUUUGAGAGCAUUUCCCAGGAACUUCUCUGUAUAAAAUUCCAAUAGCUUCAAAGACAUUUGUAUUAAAGUUGUAAUUUGUACUGAAAUCGCUAUGGCACAUAAGACCUUUUCCGACUAUUUCAAGAGAUAUUUAACAAGCAAACUUACAGAGCGUAAUCGCUACUUAAACGUGGACUCUAAUAGAAAAUGCUUUUACAGUUGGCUUAUCGGCAAAUUAACAUGGGACAUUCAACCUUAAGGUAUAGACUCAAGGUUGAAGAUUAAAUGGGUGGAAAUUAAAAAGUUCUA